rnacentral:lncRNA from 1 species
AUUUCUUGCUUGAUUAAUGAGAGAAAACGUUAGUCUACUCUGACAAACCUUGAAUUAGGGUUGGAAGGAAGCUAUUAGAGAGGUUUUGGAGGAAGAAACCCUUGAGUACUUCUUGCUUGGCUAUUCAUCUAAGGUUUUGGAGGUAAAGACAUGAACUUUGUUAAAAAUAUUCCCUUAUCUUUGGGUUUAUUUGAUGUAUGAUGUUAUAGAAGUUAAACGAAGGACUUGUAUGGUGGAUUUUAUGAUUUUCAGGUUCUGUUGUGAAUUUCCAACUUUGUUUUGUGGGAUUCAAGAGGUAAACUUGAUAGCAACCUUAUCUUUCUUCACUUGUCUUUGCAUCUACUUGAUGGAUGAUAUUCUAUAAGGUAAAAUGCAUGACUUUUAUGGAAGAUUUCAUGGUUUGUCAAGAUUAUGUUGCAAUUUCCAACUUUGGUGCAUAAUCUAGUUAGUUUAGUUUAGAGUUUUGAAUAUGUGAAAUUUUGAUGGGUUUGUUUGCUAAGAAGAUGGUUCAUAUAUGUCAUGACAUGAUAUCUUGAUUGAUAGUGGUUUCACCAAGAAAAUAAGGUUGAAAGUUGGAAGUUUUGUUGGAAAAUUUGGGAAAAACUUGCUGUAAUUUCUAUUAGAGUUGGCCGGCUAGAAAAGAGCCAUUUUCUAGCUUUGAUUUCCAGAAUUUUGUGGUGAUUUUGGCAAGGUUUUGCUCAAGAUACUUUGUUAAACCUAAAUUUUCACCUGUAUGUUGGAUUUCAGUCAAAACAAAGAGGACAAGAGAAGGAAAAUGAGUUUUCUCCAACAUGUUUUUCUUGCUCGAAAUUUCUAGUUUUGUACCUCGAAAAUCUUGUCCUAUUGUCUUCAAAAUUCUUGGUUAUAAUCAACAAAAUUCUUGCUCCAUAUUAUACUUGAAACAUGGACCUAUCAUACAUAUAGUUUUCCCUUGAUUUGAACAAGAAAUCUUGGCCCUUUCGGAAACUAUAUUAGGGUUAAACCUGAAAUUUUCUGUGUUUGUCAAGUGAAGCUUCGAACUCAUAUUUUCUCAUUUAUCUUGGAUUUAAAUGGAUAGACUCUUGAUAGCUUAUAUGACCACAGGACUUGAGAAGACGAAUCAGGGUUUGAAGUGGAAACAUUGAGGUCAAGUGGUGAGUGUUCCUUAUGUUUGUGAAUUGAAUGCCUUGAUUGUGUGUUAUUUUUUGACUGUUAAAUGUAUUUCAAAAAUCACUUUACUAUUGAUAGGCGAGUGUGUACCUUAUCGCACUCGACCUAAGUGAAUAUGAAUUUUUAACGAUUACAUGAUUGAAUGUUACUUGUGCAUGAAUGCAAGUCAUUGGUUGAAUUGGACCCUUAUCCUUCGUCGCUAGCCUAUUCAAAUCAGAAGCAGACUCGGUCAGGUAGGUUGGUAACCCUGAGCCACUGUUUUGGUAUACUCGAGUAUAAUCACGAAAUCAGGUGAAGUACUGACCAGUGAAUGAAAUGCAAUAAAUAAAUGAUUGAAUGAAAUGAUCAAUGUCGGGGUUUUUGUUUUCAAAUGUGUUUUCAAAUAUUAGAAGUUAUAAGGAAGAAAUGGACGGAGACAGAAUGAC